rnacentral:rRNA from 1 species
AGAGUUUGAUCAUGGCUCAGGACGAACGCUGGCGGCGUGCCUAAUACAUGCAGGUCGAGCGAGCGGAACUAACAGAUUUACUUCUGUAAUGACGUUAGGAAAGCGAGCGGCGGAUGGGUGAGUAACACGUGGGGAACCUGCCCCAUAGUCUGGGAUACCACUUGGAAACAGGUGCUAAUACCGGAUAAGAAAGCAGAUCGCAUGAUCAGCUUUUAAAAGGCGGCGUAAGCUGUCGCUAUGGGAUGGCCCCGCGGUGCAUUAGCUAGUUGGUAAGGUAAAGGCUUACCAAGGCGAUGAUGCAUAGCCGAGUUGAGAGACUGAUCGGCCACAUUGGGACUGAGACACGGCCCAAACUCCUACGGGAGGCAGCAGUAGGGAAUCUUCCACAAUGGACGCAAGUCUGAUGGAGCAACGCCGCGUGAGUGAAGAAGGUUUUCGGAUCGUAAAGCUCUGUUGUUGGUGAAGAAGGAUAGAGGUAGUAACUGGCCUUUAUUUGACGGUAAUCAACCAGAAAGUCACGGCUAACUACGUGCCAGCAGCCGCGGUAAUACGUAGGUGGCAAGCGUUGUCCGGAUUUAUUGGGCGUAAAGCGAGCGCAGGCGGAAGAAUAAGUCUGAUGUGAAAGCCCUCGGCUUAACCGAGGAACUGCAUCGGAAACUGUUUUUCUUGAGUGCAGAAGAGGAGAGUGGAACUCCAUGUGUAGCGGUGGAAUGCGUAGAUAUAUGGAAGAACACCAGUGGCGAAGGCGGCUCUCUGGUCUGCAACUGACGCUGAGGCUCGAAAGCAUGGGUAGCGAACAGGAUUAGAUACCCUGGUAGUCCAUGCCGUAAACGAUGAGUGCUAAGUGUUGGGAGGUUUCCGCCUCUCAGUGCUGCAGCUAACGCAUUAAGCACUCCGCCUGGGGAGUACGACCGCAAGGUUGAAACUCAAAGGAAUUGACGGGGGCCCGCACAAGCGGUGGAGCAUGUGGUUUAAUUCGAAGCAACGCGAAGAACCUUACCAGGUCUUGACAUCUAGUGCCAUUUGUAGAGAUACAAAGUUCCCUUCGGGGACGCUAAGACAGGUGGUGCAUGGCUGUCGUCAGCUCGUGUCGUGAGAUGUUGGGUUAAGUCCCGCAACGAGCGCAACCCUUGUUAUUAGUUGCCAGCAUUAAGUUGGGCACUCUAAUGAGACUGCCGGUGACAAACCGGAGGAAGGUGGGGAUGACGUCAAGUCAUCAUGCCCCUUAUGACCUGGGCUACACACGUGCUACAAUGGGCAGUACAACGAGAAGCGAGCCUGCGAAGGCAAGCGAAUCUCUGAAAGCUGUUCUCAGUUCGGACUGCAGUCUGCAACUUGACUGCACGAAGCUGGAAUCGCUAGUAAUCGCGGAUCAGCACGCCGCGGUGAAUACGUUCCCGGGCCUUGUACACACCGCCCGUCACACCAUGGGAGUCUGCAAUGCCCAAAGCCGGUGGCCUAACCUUCGGGAAGGAGCCGUCUAAGGCAGGGCAGAUGACUGGGGUGAAGUCGUAACAAGGUAGCCGUAGGAGAACCUGCGGCUGGAUCACCUCCUU